CUUCUCCUACGGGGGGCAGCAGUGAGGAAUAUUGGUCAAUGGGCGAGAGCCUGACCCAGCAACGCCGCGUGAAGGAAGAAGGCUUUCGGGUUGUAAACUUCUUUUCUCAGGGACGAAUAGAUGACGGUACCUGAGGAAUAAGCCACGGCUAACUACGUGCCAGCAGCCGCGGUAAUACGUAGGUGGCAAGCGUUAUCCGGAUUUACUGGGUGUAAAGGGCGUGUAGGCGGGGACGCAAGUCAGAUGUGAAAACCACGGGCUCAACCUGUGGCCUGCAUUUGAAACUGUGUUUCUUGAGUACUGGG
rnacentral:rRNA from 1 species